CGAAACUGCGAAUGGCUCAUUAUAUAAGUUAUCGUUUAUUUGAUAGUACCUUACUACUUGGAUAACCGUGGUAAUUCUAGAGCUAAUACAUGCUAAAAAUCCCGACUUCGGAAGGGAUGUAUUUAUUAGAUUAAAAACCAAUGCCCUCCGGGGCUCACUGGUGAUUCAUGAUAACUCCUCGAAUCGCAUGGCCUUGCGCCGGCGAUGGUUCAUUCAAAUUUCUUCCCUAUCAACUUUCGAUGUUUGGGUAUUGGCCAAACAUGGUUGCAACGGGUAACGGAGGGUUAGGGCUCGACCCCGGAGAAGGAGCCUGAGAAACGGCUACUACAUCCAAGGAAGGCAGCAGGCGCGCAAAUUACCCAAUCCCGACUCGGGGAGGUAGUGACAAUAAAUACUGAUACAGGGCUCUUUUGGGUCUUGUAAUUGGAAUGAGUACAAUUUAAAUCCCUUAACGAGGAACAAUUGGAGGGCAAGUCUGGUGCCAGCAGCCGCGGUAAUUCCAGCUCCAAUAGCGUAUAUUAAAGUUGUUGUGGUUAAAAAGCUCGUAGUUGAACCUUGGGCCUGGCUGGCCGGUCCGCCUCACCGCGUGUACUGGUCCGGCCGGGCCUUUCCCUCUGUGGAACCCCAUGCCCUUCACUGGGUGUGGCGGGGAAACAGGACUUUUACUGUGAAAAAAUUAGAGUGCUCCAGGCAGGCCUAUGCUCGAAUACAUUAGCAUGGAAUAAUAGAAUAGGACGUGUGGUUCUAUUUUGUUGGUUUCUAGGACCGCCGUAAUGAUUAAUAGGGACAGUCGGGGGGCAUCAGUAUUCAAUUGUCAGAGGUGAAAUUCUUGGAUUUAUUGAAGACUAACUACUGCGAAAGCAUUUGCCAAGGGAUGUUUUCAUUAAUCAGGAACGAAAGUUAGGGGAUCGAAGACGAUCAGAUACCGUCGUAGUCUUAACCAUAAACUAUGCCGACUAGGGAUCGGACGAUGUUAUAUUUUGACUCGUUCGGCACCUUACGAGAAAUCAAAGUGCUUGGGCUCCAGGGGGAGUAUGGUCGCAAGGCUGAAACUUAAAGAAAUUGACGGAAGGGCACCACCAGGGGUGGAGCCUGCGGCUUAAUUUGACUCAACACGGGGAAACUCACCAGGUCCAGACACAAUGAGGAUUGACAGAUUGAGAGCUCUUUCUUGAUUUUGUGGGUGGUGGUGCAUGGCCGUUCUUAGUUGGUGGAGUGAUUUGUCUGCUUAAUUGCGAUAACGAACGAGACCUUAACCUGCUAAAUAGCCCGUAUUGCUUUGGCAGUACGCUGGCUUCUUAGAGGGACUAUCGGCUCAAGCCGAUGGAAGUUUGAGGC
rnacentral:rRNA from 1 species